UUACUUUGACAGCACAUACACUAAAAUUGGAAUGAUACAGAGAAGAUUAGCAUCCUGUGCAAGGAUGACAUGCAAAUUUGUGAAAUGUUCCUUAUUUUA
ensembl:snRNA U6 U6 spliceosomal RNA